GACAUGCACUACAGUUUGUUUCUCAAAAUAUUGCAUGCAUAGUAUUUUAUAGAUGAUUCAUUACUAUCAAGACUCAUAACUUGCUUAUCUAAUAAAUACCUAAAAAUCCAAAGUAAAUUAAUCACAUAAAUAAUGCAACAGAAACUUCCGCCAUAUUUUGGUAUCACUGUCAUUCCAGUGGGUUUAGGUUGUAUCUUUCGCACCAAAGAAUGAUUCACCUUGUUUCACAAUGUCAACCACCGCACAACGGCCGCUUUAAGAUCUGUGCCAUUGGAUCGCACAACGGCUGCUUUAAGAGCUGUGCAGGUGGAGGAGAGGCUAGCAUUUAGAGCGCUUUGAGAGCUGUGCAAUGCACAAUCCCAUGGUUGAUCUUGGGAAAACAAGAUCAAUCAUUCUUACGCAGGAAAGAUACAACCCGAUCCCCAUUUCAGUUGAGUGAAUUGUUUUGCAUGUCCCUGCACAGAUCUUAGUAUACCUCAACCCAUGUGCAUGACAGCAUCAUACUCAAAAGUUUGAGGAAGCCCCAAACCUUCAUGUCUGACCCCAGUUAAGCCACUGACCUAACAAUAGCUGCCGGUUCAAGAAAUAAAAGGCCGGAAAAUAAGAAGCGUUGACACGCAGGAAACCUAACUUUCAAAACCAUAGGCCCAAACGACUGGUAGUUCCAGGAAGGGCCUUCAUACAGCCAUGAAUGAAUGCUUCUCAACGAUUGUCAAGCUGCUCUUCCUUCAGUUCUCCCAACAAUUCAUCAUCUGUCUCAGGAUUUUGGCUUCCUUCUUCCCCCAGGUGCAAUUUUGAGGAUCCCAAAUAUCGGGAUCGCUUCCUUCCCUGUCGGGAAGCGUUGCAACAUCAGAAAGAGCCUAGCAGCGACAAUGAAAGUGAAUAUGAAAGACACAAGUUGCAUAAAUACACAGAUUAUAAUGUGCAGUACAUACACUGAAAUUUUUAAAUUAUGGAGUGUCAAAACGUAUGGAUCCCUGGAAGGAUACUAACCAUACCAAGUAUCAGUUAAGAGCAAUCUUUCGGAAAAAGGAAUCAGGGCGCUUUUGUUUAGGGGUCGGGGGGUGGGGAGUCAAUCUUCUAUGGUUUGCUAAUAUCUGUAUGAUUUGAAGGGCUCUAAAAUUGGUUAUUUGAUAUCAGUGAUUUGGUGGAUGAUCAUGUUUUAACACUUCUAGAACAUAUGAUUGUAUAAACUCAUUACAGUAAAAUACAGUCCUGUUUCCAUUUAUGUUGCGACCUAAAUAUGCACUACAAAAAGGCUGAAGCUGGCAAAUUUAGCAACGCAUGAGUUAGGAAGCCUAAGGACCCUGAAACAGUCAGCAAACAAAAUUUUAAGGGGAAAAAAUAACUAUAUUUACAAGGAGAACAAAAAUGAACUGCAAGGAGAGUAACAACAAAGUCAACAUAAGCAACAACUUUCAGUUUGGUUGUUGUACUUGCUAAGCAUACCUUAACCAUGUGUUCAGAAUGAGAUCUAAACUAACACAAGGGCUAGUUAUGAGAAUUAUAAAAAAAA